AAAUUGAAGAGUUUGAUCAUGGCUCAGAUUGAACGCUGGCGGCAGGCCUAACACAUGCAAGUCGAACGGUAACAGGAAGCAGCUUGCUGCUUCGCUGACGAGUGGCGGACGGGUGAGUAAUGUCUGGGAAACUGCCUGAUGGAGGGGGAUAACUACUGGAAACGGUAGCUAAUACCGCAUAACGUCGCAAGACCAAAGAGGGGGACCUUCGGGCCUCUUGCCAUCGGAUGUGCCCAGAUGGGAUUAGCUAGUAGGUGGGGUAACGGCUCACCUAGGCGACGAUCCCUAGCUGGUCUGAGAGGAUGACCAGCCACACUGGAACUGAGACACGGUCCAGACUCCUACGGGAGGCAGCAGUGGGGAAUAUUGCACAAUGGGCGCAAGCCUGAUGCAGCCAUGCCGCGUGUAUGAAGAAGGCCUUCGGGUUGUAAAGUACUUUCAGCGGGGAGGAAGGGAGUAAAGUUAAUACCUUUGCUCAUUGACGUUACCCGCAGAAGAAGCACCGGCUAACUCCGUGCCAGCAGCCGCGGUAAUACGGAGGGUGCAAGCGUUAAUCGGAAUUACUGGGCGUAAAGCGCACGCAGGCGGUUUGUUAAGUCAGAUGUGAAAUCCCCGGGCUCAACCUGGGAACUGCAUCUGAUACUGGCAAGCUUGAGUC
rnacentral:rRNA from 1 species